CUGGGUUUUAAAACAUUCCCCUUUUCCUUUCCAAGAGGCGGUUGGCUCCGCCCCUGUUGCUAUGGUAACCCGUUCUAGCAUUCUAAGAUGGCUACCUUCCUCCAUACAUAUUGUCAACUGAAAUACUCACCAUUUUAAACUUGGAUAACUUUUGUGUUAGAGCUGUUGCUCCUUUUCAUUUUGUCUGGUACUGCCAAAUUGAGCUUUGUACAGGGGAACCUUAAUAAUACUAUAUGCUAUUUGGACAUAUUUUCUAUGAUUAUCAUCCUCUUGGUGGUCUCUCCUCUUGCGUUGCCCGUGCAGCUGCAGUCGGUGGCCUACGUGAAGCUGCACAGCCUGCUCCAGACGGCCUCUGUGCCCAAGAGGGAGGAGGCCUGCUACCUGCUGGGCAAGCUGGAGACCCCCCUCCGGCGCUCGCUGCACAGCAAGUCGGAGACCUUCUCCUGGCUGGUGCCGGUGGUGCGCACCCUGAUGGACCUGUGCUACGACACCCUGCAGCUGCAGCACGUCCUGCCCUCGCUGCCCCCCACCAACGGCAGCCCCACCUUCUACGAGGACUUCCAGGCCUUUUGCGCCACCCCCGAGUGGACCGCCUUCGUCGAGAGGCACGUGCAGCCCACCAUGGCCCAGUUCGAGAUGGACACCUUUGCCAAGAGCCACGACCACAUGUCCAACUUCUGGAACUCCUGCUACGACGCCCUGAUGAGCAGCUCCCAGCGGAGGGAGAAGGAGAAGGCCGAGAGCCGGAGGAAGUUCCAGGAGCUCGUUUCUGGAGCCGGUGAUGAAGCGGGCCAAGUACGAGAACAUGCGUCACACCAACAUGCUGAAGCAGGUCAACAACCACCACAACACGGUCCUGAAGCAGUGGAAGGCACUGCGCCGCUUGCUCACCUCCCAGCGCUCGGCCUGGGCCCAUCGGUAAUCAUCAUCAUCAUCAUCAAUAACACUCACAUCAUUUCUGUUCCUGGUUCGAAAGUGUUAUUUCCUGUCUAAUUACUUUGAAAAAAGUUGGUGGCCCUUACUGGGUGGCCCUUACUUUGAAAAAAGUUGUUAUACCCCAGAAACUUUGUUUUUGUGGCACAAACUUUGUUGAAUCGCUUGAGACUCAAUCAUUGAGAGAUCAUUGAAAAACUAGAGCAAAAGGCGUUACAGCAGGUGUUGUUGUUGUUUAUUCAUUUAGUCGCUUCCGAAGUGAAAUAAGUGCCACUGUACUAAAGUUUGAGCAUUCUUUAGUAUUUCCCUUUCUUGGGAUGGGGAUAUACUGUAUAUACUAGCGCAGGGGUCCUCAAACUUUUUAAGCAGGGGGCCGGUCCACAAUCCUUCAGACUGUUGAGGGGCCAAAUUAUUAUUUGAAAAAGAAAUACGAACAAAUCCCUAUGCACACUGCACAUGUCAUAUUUGUAGUGCAAAACAACAACAACAAUGAAAGAACAAUAAAAUAUUUUAAAAUGAAAACAAUUUUAACCAACAUAAACCUAUCAGGCCAAUGAGAUAGUCAAGUUAAUUAGGAUUGUUGUUGUUGUCGUUGUUGUUGUGUGCCUUCAAG
rnacentral:lncRNA from 11 species